GCCGGGGUGGCUCAGUCAGUUGAGCAUCCGACUUCAGCUCAGGUCAUGAUCUCACGGUUUGUGGGUUCGAGCCCCACGUCGGGCU
rnacentral:tRNA from 1 species